rnacentral:rRNA from 1 species
AGUGAACGCUGGCGGUAGGCCUAACACAUGCAAGUCGAACGGCAGCACAGUAAGAGCUUGCUCUUACGGGUGGCGGGUGGCGGACGGGUGAGGAAUACAUCGGAAUCUACUUUUUCGUGGGGGAUAACGUAGGGAAACUUACGCUAAUACCGCAUACGACCUACGGGUGAAAGCAGGGGAUCUUCGGACCUUGCGCGAUUGAAUGAGCCGAUGUCGGAUUAGCUAGUUGGCGGGGUAAAGGCCCACCAAGGCGACGAUCCGUAGCUGGUCUGAGAGGAUGAUCAGCCACACUGGAACUGAGACACGGUCCAGACUCCUACGGGAGGCAGCAGUGGGGAAUAUUGGACAGUGGGCGCAAGCCUGAUCCAGCCAUACCGCGUGGGUGAAGAAGGCCUUCGGGUUGCAAAGCCCUUUUGUUGGGAAAGAAAAGCAGCAGGUUAAUACCCCGCUGUUCUGACGGUACCCAAAGAAUAAGCACCGGCUAACUUCGUG